GGCCGGGUAGCUCAGUCGGUUAGAGCGUCGUGCUGAUAACGCGAAGGUCGAGGGUCCGACCCCCUCUCUGGCCA
rnacentral:tRNA from 1 species